UAAUUGUGUUUGUUGGCCAUAGAGUAGGGGGGAAAACCAACCAACACAUAAAAAUCUGUUGAAGAAACUUUUGAAUAAAUAAACAGAAAAGUAUCCUUGGAGAGCCUUUGACAUCCAUCAGCCUUCUUUACUUGUCUGAAAUAACUGAAAUAGUAAAGCUGAGUGAGAGUGGUCCUCCAAUAUCCCCUAGCCUGGGAAGAAGGGUUUGGGGUAAGACAUCCAAUAUCCUACUCCAAAUAAGUUUAAACAGGCAAGAGAGCUUAUAUUAUCUCAUUAAAACAUCCAACUUCAGUGGAAGUAACAAACUAAAGUCAGCAGAACACCAAGGGCUGCUUUUUUGCAAUGAAUAGCAGCUAAAGAAGUCACUGAUAUACAUAUUUGUGUUUUCAAGUAAAUAACCCAAGAUGCAGAGUGUAAUAGAAUGAUUUUGCAACAAGCCUUGGCUCCGAAACAAAUGGACA